rnacentral:rRNA from 1 species
CCUACGGGGGGCAGCAGUGGGGAAUAUUGCGCAAUGGGCGAAAGCCUGACGCAGCGACGCCGCGUGAGGGAUGAAGGUCUUCGGAUCGUAAACCUCUGUCAGCAGAGAAGAACGGUCACUGUGCUAAUCAGCAGUGAAUUGACGGUACCUGCAAAGGAAGCACCGGCUAACUCCGUGCCAGCAGCCGCGGUAAUACGGAGGGUGCGAGCGUUAAUCGGAAUUACUGGGCGUAAAGGGCUCGUAGGCGGUAUGUCAAGUCAAGGGUGAAAUCCCCGGGCUCAACGUGGGAACUGCAUUUGAAACUGGCAGACUGGAGUGUGUGAGAGGAUAGUGGAAUUCCAGGUGUAGGAGUGAAAUGCGUAGAUAUCUGGAGGAACACCGGUGGCGAAGGCGACCAUCUGGCACAUAACUGACGCUGAGGAGCGAAAGCGUGGGUAGCAAACAGGAUUAGAUACCCCAGUAGUC